rnacentral:rRNA from 1 species
UAUUGGUCAAUGGGCGCUAGCCUGAACCAGCCACGUAGCGUGAAGGAUGACUGUCCUAUGGGUUGUAAACUUCUUUUAUAUGGUACUAAAGUGCAGUAUGUAUACUGCUUUGCAUGUACCUUAUGAUUAAGUAUCUGCUAACUCCGUGCCAGCAGCCGCGGUAAUACGGAGGAUCCGAGCGUUAUCCGGAUUUAUUGGGUUUAAAGGGAGCGUAGGCGGGUUGUUAAGUCAGUUGUGAAAGUUUGCGGCUCAACCGUAAAAUUGCAGUUGAUACUGGCAGCCUUGAGUACAGUAGAGGUAGGCGGAAUUCGUGGUGUAGCGGUGAAAUGCUUAGAUAUCACGAAGAACUCCGAUUGCGAAGGCAGCCUGCUGGACUGUAACUGACGCUGAUGCUCGAAAGUGUGGGUAUCAAACAGG